rnacentral:misc_RNA from 1 species
UCAAACUUGGUCAUUUAGAGGAAGUAAAAGUCGUAACAAGGUCUCCGUUGGUGAACCAGCGGAGGGAUCAUUACCGAGUUUACAACUCCCAAACCCCAUGUGAACCUUACCAGUCGUUGCUUCGGCGGUCGCGCCCCGGGCCCCGCGCCCGGAACCAAGGCGCCCGCCGGGGGACCCAAAACCAUGAAUCUUUACCUGUAUCUUCCGAGUGGCGCAAGCAAAUAAAAUCAAAACUUUCAACAACGGAUCUCUUGGCUCUGGCAUCGAUGAAGAACGCAGC